UUGAUUUUACACAUUUUGGGGAGACAGGAGUUACAGUUGUAGAAGGACAAGCCGCAGACAAAACCCCUCAGACACCAAGUUGAAGAAGGAAGGGCUAUAUUCGGCCAGGAGCUUUGGCAAGGAUAGAAAAAAGACUGAACAAAAAUGAGCGUGCCAGUGAACUAUGGGUCAAUAUCAUACAGCCUAACCUAUGUGUAUUUUCAGUCCUGGAAAAGAACAGAAUGAAAUAUUUAAUGAAUUAAUGACCAGAAAAUUU
rnacentral:lncRNA from 10 species